rnacentral:sRNA from 1 species
UUCUAGCCCUGAUUGAAGCGACAUCCUUUUUCUUUUUUCUUUAAAAAGGAAAAGAUAUAGCGUAAAGCAGGAAAUAGC